rnacentral:rRNA from 1 species
UACGUAGGGUGCAAGCGUUAAUCGGAAUUACUGGGCGUAAAGCGUGCGCAGGCGGUUCGACAAGUCCGAUGUGAAAGCCCCGGGCUCAACCUGGGAAUGGCAUUGGAAACUGGCGAGCUUGAGUGUGGCAGAGGGGGGUGGAAUUCCGCGUGUAGCAGUGAAAUGCGUAGAGAUGCGGAGGAACACCAACAGCGAAGGCAGCUCGCUGGGACGGUACUGACGCUGAGGCGCGAAAGCGUGGGGAGCGAACAGG